CAAGUCCUUUACUGACGCUAAAGCUCGAAGGUGCGGGUAUCGAACAGGAUUAGAUACCCUGGUAGUCCGCACGGUAAACGAUGGAUGCCCGCUGUUUGCGAUAUAGUGUGAGCGGCCAAGCGAAAGCGUUAAGCAUCCCACCUGGGGAGUACGCCGGCAACGGUGAAACUCAAAGGAAUUGGCGGGGGCCCGCACAAGCGGAGGAACAUGUGGUUUAAUUCGAUGAUACGCGAGGAACCUUACCCGGGCUUGAACUGCAGCAGAACGAUUGAGAGAUCAUGAGGUCCUUCGGGACUGCUGUGGAGGUGCUGCAUGGUUGUCGUCAGCUCGUGCCGUGAGGUGUCGGCUUAAGUGCCAUAACGAGCGCAACCCCUCUCUUCAGUUGCCAUCAGGUCGAGCUGGGCACUCUGGAGACACUGCCACCGUAAGGUGUGAGGAAGGUGGGGAUGACGUCAAAUCAGCACGGCCCUUACGUCCGGGGCUACACACGUGUUACAAUGGGUGGUACAGAGCGUCGGCGGCCUGCAAAGUCCGUCCAAUCGCAAAAUCCAUCCUCAGUUCGGACUGGGGUCUGCAACCCGACCCCACGAAGCUGGAUUCG
rnacentral:rRNA from 1 species